CCUACGGGAGGCAGCAGUGGGGGAUAUUGCACAAUGGGGGGAACCCUGAUGCAGCGACGCCGCGUGGGUGAAGGAGUGCUUCGGCAUGUAAAGCCCUAUCGGCAGGGAAGAAGCAAGACGGUACCUGACUAAGAAGCCCCGGCUAACUACGUGCCAGCAGCCGCGGUAAUACGUAGGGGGCGAGCGUUAUCCGGAUUCACUGGGUGUAAAGGGAGCGUAGACGGCCAAGCAAGCCAGGGGUGAAAGCCCGGGGCCCAACCCCGGGACUGCCCUUGGAACUGCAUGGCUGGAGUGCGGGAGGGGCAGGCGGAAUUACUGGUGUAGCGGUGAAAUGCGUAGAUAGCAGGAGGAACACCGGCGGCGAAGGCGGCCUGCUGGACCGCGACUGACGUUGAGGCUCGAAAGCGUGGGGAGUGAACAGGAUUAGAUACCCUUGUAGUC
rnacentral:rRNA from 1 species